UAAGGAAUAUUGCUCAAUGGGAGAAAUCCUGAAGCAGCAACGCCGCGUGGAGGAUGAAGGGUCUAUGACUUGUAAACUCCUGUAAAGAAGGAAAAAAUUCCCAUUUGAUGGGAGAUGAUGGUACUUCUGGAGUAAGCCCCGGCUAACUACGUGCCAGCAGCCGCGGUAAUACGUAGGGGGCAAGCGUUGUCCGGAUUUACUGGGUGUAAAGGGUGCUCAGGCGGAUUUGUAAGUCAGAGGUGAAAUCUUACAGCUUAACUGUGAAACUGCCUUUGAUACUGCAAGCCUAGAGUAUGGAAGAGNGUGAUGUAAUAUCUUGUGUAGCAGUGAAAUGCGUAGAUAUCAGAUAGAACACCAAUGGCGAAGGCAGUCACUUGGUCCAUUACUGACGCUAAAGCACGAAAGCGUGGGUAGCAAACA
rnacentral:rRNA from 1 species